CAACCCUCAAGCUCAGCUUGGUAUUGGGCUCGCCCUUUAUGGGCCUGCCUCAAAAUCAGUGGCGGCUCCGUCCAGUCUCAAGCGCAGUAAUACUCGUCGCUUGUUAGGCUUGAUCGGCGGUUUGCCAGCAACCCCCAAUUUUACAA
rnacentral:misc_RNA from 1 species